rnacentral:lncRNA from 1 species
GUGCGUUAACAGAACGAAACCGUCAAAUACGACAACUUUUCACUAAAACUUUUUUCCUUGAAGAGAGUUUGUGUAUAAUCCUUGCAAUACUUCCAUUUUUUUCUCUCUAAAAUAUGAAAAGUGCAGUUUCUAGAUAGUAGACCGAUCUCUAGAUACCUUUAAUAAGAUUAAUAUAAACUUUUGCAAGAAAGAAUUAAAAAAAAAGGAAAAAUAUUAGCACUCACAAGUUUCUUGCCCGGCUUUGUCAGAUGCAAAUGAAAGCAAUUAAGGGCAUACGAUACAGGGGAGGUUAUGACGUUGCUAAAGUUAAAUUUAAUUUUUGCGACGUCAAACUGUGACAUAUCGGGAAAAGAUGCAUUUUUCGACUGAUUUUUAUCAUUCAAACUGAUCUAAUUUGGAAACGAGUGCAUGAACCCUUAUUUUUCAAAAUGACAAUUUGUUUCAUUUUGCAGGGAGAUUAUGUGGACCAAAUUUUGUAAAACUGUAAAUAGUGCAUUUUUUUUAUUUUGAUAAAUAUACAGCAAAACAUUGCGUUUUUUUU